AGUGAACGCUGGCGGUAGGCCUAACACAUGCAAGUCGAACGGCAGCACAGUAAGAGCUUGCUCUUACGGGUGGCGAGUGGCGGACGGGUGAGGAAUACAUCGGAAUCUACUUUUUCGUGGGGGAUAACGUAGGGAAACUUACGCUAAUACCGCAUACGACCUACGGGUGAAAGCAGGGGAUCUUCGGACCUUGCGCGAUUGAAUGAGCCGAUGUCGGAUUAGCUAGUUGGCGUGGUAAAGGCCCACCAAGGCGACGCUCCGUAGCUGGUCUGAGAGGAUGAUCAGCCACACUGGAACUGAGACACGGUCCAGACUCCUACGGGAGGCAGCAGUGGGGAAUAUUGGACAAUGGGCGCAAGCCUGAUCCAGCCAUACCGCGUGGGUGAAGAAGGCCUUCGGGUUGUAAAGCCCUUUUGUUGGGAAAGAAAAGCAGCAGGUUAAUACCCCGCUGUUCUGACGGUACCCAAAGAAUAAGCACCGGCUAACUUCGUG
rnacentral:rRNA from 1 species